rnacentral:misc_RNA from 1 species
GAUGAAGAACGUAGCGAAAUGCGAUAAGUAAUGUGAAUUGCAGAAUUCAGUGAAUCAUCGAAUCUUUGAACGCACAUUGCGCCCGUCAGUAUUCUGGCGGGCAUGCCUGUUCGAGCGUCAUUACGCCCCUCAAGUCCCCUGUGGACUUGGUGUUGGGGAUCGGCGAGGCUGGUUUUCCAGCACAGCCGUCCCUUAAAUUAAUUGGCGGUCUCGCCGUGGCCCUCCUCUGCGCAGUAGUAAAACACUCGCAACAGGAGCCCGGCGCGGUCCACUGCCGUAAAACCCCCAACUUUUUAUAGUUGACCUCGAAUCAGGUAGGACUACCCGCUGAACUUAAGCAUAUCAAUAAGCGGAGGA